UACGGAGGAUGCGAGCGUUAUCCGGAUUUAUUGGGUUUAAAGGGUGCGCAGGCGGUCUGUUAAGUCAGCGGUCAAAGCCCGGGGCCCAACCCCGGGACUGCUUUGGAAACUGUGUAACUUGAGUACAGGAGGGGCAGGCGGAAUUCCUGGUGUAGCGGUGAAAUGCGUAGAUAUCAGGAGGAACACCGGCGGCGAAGGCGGCCUGCUGGACUGAAACUGACGUUGAGGCUCGAAAGCGUGGGGAGCAAACAGG
rnacentral:rRNA from 1 species